rnacentral:rRNA from 1 species
UGUGACGAGUUUGAUCCUGGCUCAGAACGAACGCUGGCGGCAGGCUUAACACAUGCAAGUCGAACGCCCCGCAAGGGGAGUGGCAGACGGGUGAGUAACGCGUGGGAAUCUACCCAACUCUACGGAAUAACUCAGGGAAACUUGUGCUAAUACCGUAUACGCCCUUCGGGGGAAAGAUUUAUCGGAGUUGGAUGAGCCCGCGUUGGAUUAGCUAGUUGGUGGGGUAAAGGCCUACCAAGGCGACGAUCCCAUAGCUGGUCUGAGAGGAUGAUCAGCCACACUGGGACUGAGACACGGCCCAGACUCCUACGGGAGGCAGCAGUGGGGAAUAUUGGACAAUGGGCGCAAGCCUGAUCCAGCCAUGCCGCGUGAGUGAUGAAGGCCCUAGGGUUGUAAAGCUCUUUCACCGGUGAAGAUAAUGACGGUAACCGGAGAAGAAGCCCCGGCUAACUUCGUG